AUUGAACGCUGGCGGCAUGCCUUACACAUGCAAGUCGAACGGCAGCACGGGAGCAAUCCUGGUGGCGAGUGGCGAACGGGUGAGUAAAGUAUCGGAACGUGCCCAGUCGUGGGGGAUAACGUAGCGAAAGUUACGCUAAUACCGCAUACGAUCUAUGGAUGAAAGCGGGGGAUCGCAAGACCUCGCGCGAUUGGAGCGGCCGAUAUCAGAUUAGGUAGUUGGUGGGGUAAAGGCUCACCAGGCCGACGAUCUGUAGCUGGUCUGAGAGGACGACCAGCCACACUGGGACUGAGACACGGCCCAGACUCCUACGGGAGGCAGCAGUGGGGAAUUUUGGACAAUGGGCGAAAGCCUGAUCCAGCCAUGCCGCGUGCAGGAUGAAGGCCUUCGGGUUGUAAACUGCUUUUGUACGGAACGAAAAGGUUUGGCCUAAUAAGCUGAGCUCAUGACGGUACCGUAAGAAUAAGCACCGGCUAACUACGUGCCAGCAGCCGCCGCAG
rnacentral:rRNA from 1 species